GUCGAGCGGAAGGCCCUUCGGGGUACUCGAGCGGCGAACGGGUGAGUAACACGUGAGCAACCUGCCCCAAGCUUUGGGAUAACCCUCGGAAACGGGGGCUAAUACCGAAUAUUACUGUUGGCCGCAUGGCUGGUGGUGGAAAGUUUUUCGGCUUGGGAUGGGCUCGCGGCCUAUCAGCUUGUUGGUGGGGUAAUGGCCUACCAAGGCGACGACGGGUAGCCGGCCUGAGAGGGCGACCGGCCACACUGGGACUGAGACACGGCCCAGACUCCUACGGGAGGCAGCAGUGGGGAAUAUUGCACAAUGGGCGGAAGCCUGAUGCAGCGACGCCGCGUGAGGGAUGACGGCCUUCGGGUUGUAAACCUCUUUCAGCAGGGACGAAGCGAGAGUGACGGUACCUGCAGAAGAAGCACCGGCCAACUACGUGCCAGCAGCCGCGGUAAGACGUAGGGUGCGAGCGUUGUCCGGAUUUAUUGGGCGUAAAGAGCUCGUAGGCGGCUUGUCGCGUCGACCGUGAAAACUUGGGGCUCAACCCCAAGCCUGCGGUCGAUACGGGCAGGCUAGAGUUCGGUAGGGGAGACUGGAAUUCCUGGUGUAGCGGUGAAAUGCGCAGAUAUCAGGAGGAACACCGGUGGCGAAGGCGGGUCUCUGGGCCGAUACUGACGCUGAGGAGCGAAAGCGUGGGGAGCGAACAGGAUUAGAUACCCUGGUAGUCCACGCUGUAAACGUUGGGCGCUAGGU
rnacentral:rRNA from 1 species